rnacentral:rRNA from 1 species
UACGUAGGGUGCAAGCGUUAAUCGGAAUUACUGGGCGUAAAGCGUGCGCAGGCGGUUGGCAAAGUCAGCUGUGAAAGCCCCGGGCUCAACCUGGGAAUGGCGGUUGAAACUAGUCGACUCGAAUCUGGCAGAGGGGGGUGGAAUUCCACGUGUAGCAGUGAAAUGCGUAGAGAUGUGGAGGAACACCGAUGGCGAAGGCAGCCCCCUGGGCUGAGAUUGACGCUCAGGCACGAAAGCGUGGGGAGCAAACAGG